UGGGGAAUAUUGGACAAUGGGGGAAGCCCUGAUCCAGCAAUGCCGCGUGAGUGAAGAAGGCCUUAGGGUUGUAAAGCUCUUUCGCCCGCGAAGAUAAUGACGGUAGCGGGAGAAGAAGCCCCGGCUAACUCCGUGCCAGCAGCCGCGGUAAUACGGAGGGGGCUAGCGUUGUUCGGAAUUACUGGGCGUAAAGCGUACGUAGGCGGAUGCGCAAGUUGGGGGUGAAAUCCCGGGGCUUAACCUCGGAAUUGCCCUCAAAACUGCACGUCUUGAGACCGAGAGAGGUAAGGGGAAUUCCUAGUGUAGAGGUGAAAUUCGUAGAUAUUAGGAAGAACACCAGUGGCGAAGGCGCCUUACUGGCUCGGUACUGACGCUGAGGUACGAAAGCGUGGGGAGCAAACA
rnacentral:rRNA from 1 species